AACGAACGCUGGCGGCAGGCUUAACACAUGCAAGUCGAACGAUGUAGCAAUACAUAGUGGCGCACGGGUGAGUAACGCGUGGGAAUAUACCUUGUAGUGGGGAAUAACUUAGGGAAACUGAAGCUAAUACCGCAUACGCCCGAGAGGGGAAAGAUUUAUCGCUAUAAGAUUAGCCCGCGUGAGAUUAGGGAGUUGGUGGGGUAAUGGCCUACCAAGCCUACGAUCUCUAGCUGGUCUGAGAGGUUGAUCAGCCACACUGGAACUGAGACACGGUCCAGACUCCUACGGGAGGCAGCAGUGGGGAAUAUUGGACGAUGGGCGAAAGCCUGAUCCAGCCAUGCCGCGUGAAUGAUGAAGGCCUUAGGGUUGUAAAGUUCUUUCGCCGAUGAAGAUAAUGACGGUAGUCGGAGAAGAAGCCCCGGCUAACUUCGUGCCAGCCGCCGCAGUAA
rnacentral:rRNA from 1 species